rnacentral:rRNA from 1 species
UACAGAGGGUGCUAGCGUUGUUCGGAAUCACUGGGCGUAAAGGGCGCGUAGGCGGCCUGAUAAGUAGGGGGUGAAAUCCUGCGGCUUAACCGCAGGGCUGCCUUCUAAACUGUCAGGCUGGAGCACAGUAGAGGCAGGUGGAAUUCCCGGUGUAGCGGUGGAAUGCGUAGAGAUCGGGAAGAACAUCAGUGGCGAAGGCGGCCUGCUGGGCUGUUGCUGACGCUGAGGCGCGACAGCGUGGGGAGCAAACAGG